rnacentral:tmRNA from 1 species
GGGGGCGAUCUGGAUUCGACGAGGGGAGGAAAUCAGAGCGGCAUGCCGGGGUCCUGUUGGCCCGUUAAACAAACAGGCUGCAAUUUAACUGCAGAUAAUUUUGAAUACGCCCUAGCUGCUUAGUUGUAGCUAGCGUCUUACCGGCUCUCUCCCGCGGAGUUGGAUAAGGCGUCGUUUAGCGGGAUGGACCAAUUCUCCUGCCGGAGGGGAUGAGGUCGAGAUCUAAACCGGCUGGUCCUGAGAGACCCUGCCACUGGGGGCUUG